CCUUCUCCUCCUCCUCCUCCCCCCACCUCCCUCCACCUCCCAUCUCAGCUGCGGCUAAAACCUGGAGUCUUGGGGAAAAGGAAAAAAAAAAAAAAAAAAAAAAAAACUCGGCUGUGAAGCUGUCAAACCGGGCAUGCUCAGUA
rnacentral:sRNA from 1 species